CCUGGCGCUCGGGGGCUCGGGGCGCGGCCGCUCGGCGCCCGCUCUGGGAGAGCUGUGCGGGGCCCCCGCGUCCGCCGGAAGAGGCCGCCCUCGGGGCCGGCUGGGCUGGGCCGGGCCGGACCGCCCCGGCCCGCGGGAGAGGCCGGCGCGCGCCGGAGGGCAGGCGGAGGGCGUCUCCGCACGCUGGAAGCGGGGCGGCCACGGGCCCCGCGAGCCCCCUGAGCCGCAGAAAAGCUGGGGAAAUACACACGGAUGCAAAAGGCCCUGGCUCGCGUGACCCUAGCCCAGGAGAAGCAGCUGAGUUACCGGACAUCGUUGUCAGCAGAAGUUGGGUCGGUGGCUGGAUGCUGUAGCUGCAGGGAUUCAGCGCCUAGCAGAACUCCUGUGCAAGGAGAGAAGCAGAGAUGCCACAUUUUUAAAGUUUCACAAAGCAUCCAGCUGCACCUAGGUUGCUGGAGCAGGAGACAAACAGAAUUAAUGUUUUAUACCUUCGGGUAUAGGUUUGAGUUUUUUCCCCCUCAUGCCAAGUAUUUAAAACCUCUAGAAACCCA